UAUUUUGGUAUGGGAGGAGUUGCACCGGCAACUCUUGAACAUUGUUCCUUUAGCAUCGGAGGGAAUAACGGAAUGAAUGGAAUUUUCGGUAUGCAAUUAACUUUGGCAUCCAAAAAUGCUUUGCAACAAGCCGGACCUAAAUUACCGAACUUUCCAGUGAAAAUGGAUUGAGAAAUCUCUGCAAUGCAUCCAGGAAUAUCCAUCACGGAUGACCAACAUUUUGUUAUAUCAGGUAAUCCAGAAAUCAGUUGGAACGGAAACGGAAAAGGAAGUUGAGCUGGAAACUGAGGCAAUUGAGCAUUUACAGAAACUAUGAUACAUAGAACAUAUAGAAGGGAAAACACAUUUUUGAUAGACAUAAUGAGAAAUUCAGUACAAAGUCUUAGUAUAGCAACUAUAUGCUUAAUGCUUUGUUUUUUUUUGAUUGAUGAAUAACAAUAAAAUCCUUGCUUAUUUAUAU
rnacentral:sRNA from 1 species